rnacentral:rRNA from 1 species
AGAGUUUGAUCAUGGCUCAGGACGAACGCUGGCGGCGCGCUUAACACAUGCAAGUCGAGCGAGAACCUGGCCUUCGGGCCUGGGGAAAGCGGCGAACGGGUGAGUAACACGUGGGUAACCCACCCCUGGUACCGGGAUAGCCCGAGGAAACUCGGAUUAAUACCGGAUGGCCCAACAGCUCUUCGGGGCGGUUGGAAAAGGUAGCUUCGGCCUCCGACCAGGGACGGGCCCGCGGCGGAUUAGCUUGUUGGUGAGGUAACGGCUCACCAAGGCGACGAUCCGUAGCUGGUCUGAGAGGACGAUCAGCCACACUGGGACUGAGACACGGCCCAGACUCCUACGGGAGGCAGCAGUGGGGAAUCUUGCGCAAUGGGCGAAAGCCUGACGCAGCGACGCCGCGUGGGGGAAGAAGGCUUUCGGGUUGUAAACCCCUUUCAGGAAGGACGAAGCCACUCGGGUGAAUAGCCCAGAGGGUGACGGUACUUCCAGAAGAAGCCCCGGCUAACUACGUGCCAGCAGCCGCGGUAAUACGUAGGGGGCAAGCGUUGUCCGGAUUUAUUGGGCGUAAAGAGCGUGUAGGCGGUCAGGUAGGUCCGUUGUGAAAACUCGAGGCUCAACCUCGAGACGCCGAUGGAAACCAUCUGACUAGAGUCCGGAAGAGGAGAGUGGAAUUCCUGGUGUAGCGGUGAAAUGCGCAGAUAUCAGGAAGAACACCCGUGGCUAAGGCGGCUCUCUAGUACGGUACUGACGCUGAGACGCGAAAGCGUGGGGAGCGAACAGGAUUAGAUACCCUAGUAGUCC